AGAAGAGAAGAGAAAAUGCUUAAUCAAACUAGAGGUUUUGUGGAUUGUAAUUUAUCCAUGGGGACUUGAAGAUUUUGAUCAUUUUUUGUUCCUUUAUACUUGUACCAUUUGGCACACAGUAGAAAGUAACCAAAAUCUAAAACCUCCAAUGCAGCAACUAAGUAGUAAAAGUAAUCCAAUUUCCCCUUGUUUAGAUCCUCUGCUAACCAAUUCUCUGUAUCUGAUAUUCUUGUUGUCUUGUGAACUAUUGUUAUCAACAAGCUACUCAUGUAAUUAGCCAAUGCGAAUCCACAAAACAGGAAUGAACCUGCAAAGCUCCUCAUGUUUUCGGGGAAUUGCUUGUAGAAAAACUCAACUUGUGCUAUAAUAGUGAAUGCUUCAGAAAGCCCUGCAAGUGCUAGUUGAGGUAUCAGCCAAUUAGCAGACAUUGCUGAAAUUCCGCCUCGUCUUGGUUCAAUGCCUAGUGUUGGAUGCCUAAGAGCUAUGUCCCUUCGGCGUGUCUCCACUACAGCUGAUACUAGCAUGGUGAGAACUGCAAUUACUAAUCCGAUCCCCAUUUUUUGGAGGACGGUUAUGCCAGCUUCUUUUUUGGUGAUUUUUCGGAGAAAUGGAACGAUUAUUCUGUCAUAGAUAGGUAUCCAAAUGGACAAACUCAACAUGGAGAACACCGAGUAAGAUGCUGCUGGGAUCUUGAACUCACUGCCACUGAAAAUACGCCUGUCGCUUUGCAGCGCUUGAAAGACUAGAUAAGUUUGCAUUUGGACUAAAACAACAUAGUAUACCAAACCUGCUGUCCAUAUUGGAAAUACUCUUACAACACAUUUCACUUCUUCCACUUGUUGGAUGCUGCAAAGUCUCCAUGGAUUAGCUGCUGAUCCAUCUUCGUUUGUUUUGUCUUCGGGGCUUAAAAUAGACGCUUUAUUCAGGAACCUAAAUUGAUCAGUGUAAGGAAGUUCAGAGUUGAUACUCUUGAUGGAAACAUGAUUGAACAAGGUAUUCUGUGGUUGUUCUGGUAACUUUAAGCGCUUUUUCUUAAUUGCAGCUACGAG
rnacentral:misc_RNA from 1 species